rnacentral:rRNA from 1 species
GAUCAGCUCAGGAUGAACGCUGGCGGCGUGCUUAACACAUGCAAGUCGAACGGGAAAUACUUUAUUGAAACUUCGGUCGAUUUAAUCUAUUUCUAGUGGCGGACGGGUGAGUAACGCGUGGGUAACCUGCCUUAUACUGGGGGAUAACAGCCAGAAAUGACUGCUAAUACCGCAUAAGCGCACGGGGCCGCAUGGUCCUGUGUGAAAAACUCCGGUGGUAUAAGAUGGACCCGCGUUGGAUUAGCUAGUUGG